GAACUGCCUUCAAAACUACAUUUCUUGAGUUUGGUAGAGGAGAGUGGAAUUCCUAGUGUAGAGGUGAAAUUCGUAGAUAUUAGGAGGAACACCAGUGGCGAAGGCGACUCUCUGGGCCAAUACUGACGCUGAGGUUCGAAAGCAUGGGUAGCGAACAGGAUUAGAUACCCUGGUAGUCCAUGCAGUAAACGAUGAGUGCUAGAUGUUGAGAAUUUAAAUUUCCAGUAUCGCAGUUAACGCGUUAAGCACUCCGCCUGGGAAGUACGGCCGCAAGGCUAAAACUCAAAUGAAUUGACGGGGACCCGCACAAGCGGUGGAUCAUGUGGUUUAAUUCGAAGAUACGCGAAGGACCUUACCGGCCCUUGACAUACCAAUCGCGGACUUAAGAGAUUAAGUCUUUCACUUCGGGUGGAUUGGAUACAGGUGCUGCAUGGCUGUCGUCAGCUCGUGUCGUGAGAUGUUGGGUUAAGUCCCGCAACGAGCGCAACCCUUACCUUCAAUUGCCAGCACGUUAUGGUGGGAACUUUGAAGGAACUGCCGGUGAUAAGCCGGAGGAAGGUGGGGAUGACGUCAAGUCCUCAUGGCCCUUACGGGCCGGGCUACACACGUGAUACAAUGGUAACUACAAAAGGCAGCGAAGGAGCAAUCUGUAGCAAAUCCCUAAAAGUUACCUCAGUUCGGAUUGCACUCUGCAACUCGAGUGCAUGAAGUUGGAAUCGCUAGUAAUCGUAGAUCAGCGCGCUACGGUGAAUACGUUCCCGGGUCUUGUACACACCGCCCGUCACACCAUGGGAGUUGGUUUUACCUGAAGCUGGUUCGCUAACCGUAAGGAGGCAGCCAACCACGGUAAGAUUAGCGACUGGGGUGAAGUCGUAACAAGGUAACCGUA
rnacentral:rRNA from 1 species